UACGUAGGGUGCGAGCGUUAAUCGGAAUUACUGGGCGUAAAGCGUGCGCAGGCGGUUUUGUAAGCCAGAUGUGAAAUCCCCGGGCUUAACCUGGGAAUGGCAUUUGGGACUGCAAGGCUUGAGUGCGGCAGAGGAGACUGGAAUUCCUGGUGUAGUGGUGAUAUGCGUAGAUAUCGGGAGGAACACCAGUGGCGAAGGCGGCUCUCUGGGCCUUUCCUGACGCUGAGACGCGAAAGCGUGGGGAGCAAACAGG
rnacentral:rRNA from 1 species